CGUGUAGGCGGUUUGUACAGUCAGAUGUGAAAUCCCCGGGCUUAACCUGGGAGCUGCAUUUGAUACGUGCAGACUAGAGUGUGAGAGAGGGUUGUGGAAUUCCCAGUGUAGAGGUGAAAUUCGUAGAUAUUGGGAAGAACACCGGUGGCGAAGGCGGCAACCUGGCUCAUAACUGACGCUGAGGCGCGAAAGCGUGGGGAGCGAACA
rnacentral:rRNA from 1 species